rnacentral:misc_RNA from 1 species
CGGCCUCAUCGCAGGGUUGCCCGCCCCUUCCCCUCCCUGCUCCCCCUUCCCCCCCCCCCCCCCCCGCCCCCCCCCCCCCCCCCCCCCCCCCCCCCCCCCCCCUUCGUGGUGACGCACCGGAUUUGGGUCGUCUUGCCUUCGGUUAAGUGACCUAAAAUUUUGCAUGAUUUUUUUCGAACGUAUUUAAAUGAUUUUACGUACGUUUGCGAUAUCGAAUACUAGGUGUGGUCAUCCUCAUGAUUCGCGCCUAUAAUUUUUCAUCAAAAUGACCUCAAAUCAGGUAAGAGUACCCGCUGAACUU